AAUUCUCAACCUUUCUAGCUUUUAUUAGCUGGUCAGGCUUGGAUGUGGGGGUUGCGGGCUUUUCAAAAGUCGGCUCUCCUUAAAUGCAUUAGUGAAACCUUUGGUUGACCAUCUCUGGUGUGAUAAUUAUCUACGCCUUUGAAAAUCUUCCUUCAUUAUGGGGUUCUGCUUCUAACCGUCCCUUGGACAAUUUUGACA
rnacentral:misc_RNA from 1 species